CUUUAGAGAACCUGACCUAAGGUUGAACCUUUAUGUUAAAGGUCAUAAUGGAGCCCGCCUCCCCACCUCCACCCCCAAUUAGAUGUUUGCCAGGCUAGAUAUCCCCUUCUUGCCUCUACCAACGCUUGUCUGAAACUAGGUUAAGGGCUGUACCCUCCCAUUCUACUGUAUUAGAGAUGGUGGUGUAGUCCAAGCUCGAGACUGAAUAAAGAGACCCUAGAGCGAUUGCAUUGGAAUCGGCUCCUUGGUGAUCUUUGGGGGUUCACGGACACUUUUUGGUACAAUAUUUUCGUGGAUUGGCUGGGAACUCCAAGACUUCCAGGACCACCGACCUGGAGGGUUUCAAUACCAGCCGAGCGUGGGAUUAGCUGAUAUGGACCCUUCUGCCACCUACCAUCUUCGAUGAGGCCCUCCAUGAAGACCCAAGUGAAUACAGAACCCAGCCUCCUAACCUGACUCUUACAGUUGGCGAAUGACCUCCUGGUGGCAGCAGAAACUAAACAAAAGCCUAGAGGGGACCGAGGACCUCUUGGAGGCCCUGGGAAAUUUAGACUACAGAGCCUCCACUAAGAAGACCCUACUCUGACAACCACAGGUGACCUCCUAAAUCUGGGAGACACAUACUAAGAGAAGGUCAGAGGUGGUUCUCCAAGGCCAGAAAGGAAUUUCUACACCAGCUUUGGGGUUACCAGAAGUGACUCAGCCCUUCCAUGUCUUCGUGGACGAUAGAUCAGAGACAGCAAAAGGGGUUUUGAUUCGGACCCUGGGCCCUGGCACCAGCCACUGGCCUACCUGUCAAAAAAAUUAGAUCCAGUUGCCAGAAGCUGGCCCUCCUGUUUGUGCAUUAUCACAGCCAUGGCCCUUCUGGUUAAGGAUGCUGACCAAGUGUCACUGGGUCAAAGCCUGACCGUUGCCAAUGCCAAAAUGACUCAUUACCAGUCUCUCCUCUUAAAUCCCCCUAGAAUAACCUUUUAGGUGCCAACUGCCCUAAGUCCAGCUUCCCUGCUGCCUAAACCAGACCUCGAUGACUGCUCGGACAUUUUGGCCCACAUCCAUGGGACCAGACCAGAUCUUCAGGAUACAGAUGGAUGCAGAGAUCCCCCUCUGGCUAGGGGUCAUUGGAGCCUCAUUAAAAAGGUCCCUGUGUUAUCAUCUUGACCACAUCUACUGUCCUAAAGGUCGACAGGAUUACAGCCCAGAUCGACUGUUUUCAGCUGAAGACGACCACGACUAGCCCGAGGAAACUCAGCUUCAGGAUUCUCCCGUCUCCCACAGUUGGAGCCCCUACCCAAACCCCAGGGACACCACGAGGAUUAAGUGAUGACAACCUUGAGCCCCUCUAAAAUAUGAUAAUAGCUUCAAGCCCAUGGUUGGGCCCUCUAGUCACCGGAGAAAGGGGGAGCGAGAGACUAGAUUUUGGGUUCAGACUCCACCUUAGAGAACCUGACCUAAGGUUGAACUCGAGUUAGCUAACAAGCCGCUGUCUAGCACCAGUUUCCAGGUUAUCCCCCAAGAAAUCUGCACCUCCAGGUUACAAACCUGCCCCUGACACUUCACUUCCUAACAACCAAUCAGGAGGAAAGCAGAAACGAGAUUUAGGACUUGGCUCCCGGCACCAGUCAGUUAUGUUAAAGGCCAUAUUCCCCCCACCGCCCAGUCAGAUGUGUGCCAGGCUAGAUACCCCCUUUCUUGCCUCUAUAAAUGCUUGCCUGAAGCUAGGCUCGGGGCUGCACCCUCCCGUUCUACUGCAUUAGAGACGGUGGUGUGGUCCAAGCUCGAGCUUGAAUAAAGAGACCCUAGUGCAAUUGCAUCA